rnacentral:rRNA from 1 species
UACGUAGGGUGCGAGCGUUACUCGGAAUUACUGGGCGUAAAGGGUGCGCAGGCGGCCGAGCAAGUCGAGUGUGAAAGCCCCGAGCUUAACUUGGGAACUGCGCUCGAAACUACUUGGCUAGAGUGUGGCAGAGGGAGGUGGAAUUCCACGUGUAGCGGUGAAAUGCGUAGAGAUGUGGAGGAACACCGAUGGCGAAGGCAGCCUCCUGGGCCAACACUGACGCUCAUGCACGAAAGCGUGGGGAGCAAACAGG